UACAGAGGUCUCAAGCGUUGUUCGGAUUCAUUGGGCGUCAAGGGUGCGUAGGCGGUGAGGUAAGUCAGGUGUGAAAUCCCGGGGCUCAACUCCGGAACUGCAUUUGAUACUGCCUUGCUAGAGUACUGGAGAGGAGAUUGGAAUUUACGGUGUAGCAGUGAAAUGCGUAGAUAUCGUAAGGAGGACCAGUGGCGAAGGCGAAUCUCUGGACAGUUACUGACGCUGAGGCACGAAGGCCAGGGGAGCAAACGGG
rnacentral:rRNA from 1 species